rnacentral:rRNA from 1 species
AGAGUUUGAUCAUGGCUCAGGAUGAACGCCAGCUACAGGCUUAACACAUGCAAGUCGAGGGGAGACGAUAUUGGAAGCUUGCUUCCGAUAGGCGUCGACCGGCGCACGGGUGAGUAACGCGUAUCCAACCUGCCCACCACUUGGGGAUAACCUUGCGAAAGUAAGACUAAUACCCAAUGACGUCUCUAGAAGACAUCUGAAGGAGAUUAAAGAUUUAUCGGUGAUGGAUGGGGAUGCGUCUGAUUAGCUUGUUGGCGGGGUAACGGCCCACCAAGGCAACGAUCAGUAGGGAUUCUGAGAGGAAGGUCCCCCACAUUGGAACUGAGACACGGUCCAAACUCCUACGGGAGGCAGCAGUGAGGAAUAUUGGUCAAUGGGCGAGAGCCUGAACCAGCCAAGUAGCAUGCAGGAAGACGGCCCUAUGGGUUGUAAACUGCUUUUAUAAGGGAAUAAAGUUAGUCUCGUGAGACUUUUUGCAUGUACCUUAUGAAUAAGGACCGGCUAAUUCCGUGCCAGCAGCCGCGGUAAUACGGAAGGUCCGGGCGUUAUCCGGAUUUAUUGGGUUUAAAGGGAGCGUAGGCCGGAGAUUAAGCGUGUUGUGAAAUGUAGACGCUCAACGUCUGCACUGCAGCGCGAACUGGUUUCCUUGAGUACGCACAAAGUGGGCGGAAUUCGUGGUGUAGCGGUGAAAUGCUUAGAUAUCACGAAGAACUCCGAUUGCGAAGGCAGCUCACUGGAGCGCAACUGACGCAGAAGCUCGAAAGUGCGGGUAUCGAACAGGAUUAGAUACCCUGGUAGUCCACGCCGUAAACGAUGAAUGCUAGGUGUAGGAGGUAUCGACCCCUUCUGUGCCGGAGUUAACGCAAUAAGCAUUCCGCCUGGGGAGUACGGCCGCAAGGCUGAAACUCAAAGGAAUUGACGGGGGCCCGCACAAGCGGUGGAGUAUGUGUUUAAUUCGACGCAACGCGAAGAACCUUACCAGGGCUUGACAUUGAGUGAAAGGACAAGAGAUUGUCCCCUCUCUUCGGAGACACGAAAACAGGUGGUGCAUGGCUGUCGUCAGCUCGUGUCGUGAGAUGUUGGGUUAAGUCCCGCAACGAGCGCAACCCCUAUUCUUUGUUGCCAGCACGUUAUGGUGGGAACUCAAAGGAGACUGCCGCGGACAACGCGGAGGAAGGCGGGGAUGACGUCAAGUCAUCAUGCCCCUUAUGUCCUGGGCUACACACGUACUACAAUGGGAUGGACAGAGAGUAGCGAAGCCGCGAGGCCAAGCGAACCCCAUAAACCAUCUCCCAGUUCGGAUUGCAGGCUGCAACCCGCCUGCAUGAAGUUGGAAUCGCUAGUAAUCGCAGGUCAGCAUACUGCGGUGAAUACGUUCCCGGGCCUUGUACACACCGCCCGUCACACCACGGAAGUCAUUCACACCCGAAGCCGGCAGGCUAACCUUUAUGGAGGCAGCCGUCUAAGGUGGGGGCGAUGACUGGGGUGAAGUCGUAACAAGGUA